ACGUAGGUGGCAAGCGUUAUCCGGAUUUACUGGGCGUAAAGCGUGUGCAGGCGGUCUUCCAAGUGGUGUAUGAAAGCGCCCGGCUUAACCGGGCGAGGUUAUGCCAGACUGGGAGGCUGGAGACAGAGAGAGGGACGUGGAAUUCCGGGUGUAGUGGUGAAAUGCGUAGAGAUCCGGAGGAACACCAGAGGCGAAAGCGGCGUCCUGGCUCUGUUCUGACGCUCAGACACGAAAGCAUGGGGAGCGAACGG
rnacentral:rRNA from 1 species